UACGUAGGGUGCAAGCGUUUAAUCGGAAUUACUGGGCGUAAAGCGUGCGCAGGCGGUUUCGCAAGUCAGAUGUGAAAUCCCCGGGCUCAACCUGGGAACUGCAUUUGAAACUACGAGGCUAGAGUGUGUCAGGAGGGGGGGUGGAAUUCCACGUGUAGCAGUGAAAUGCGUAGAGAUGUGGAGGAACACCAAUGGCGAAGGCAGCCCCCUGGGAUGACACUGACGCUCAUGCACGAAAGCGUGGGGAGCAAACAGG
rnacentral:rRNA from 1 species